CAUGAAAAAGAGAGGAAAAGUGAGCAAGAGUUGGCGUGUCGAGGUUUUUCUAUCUCACUACUGCAAUCACAAAAAAGAACGUGACGGUGUGUCACGCCGAGGAAGGUGAGGAUGAAGAUGGUGCUGUGGGCCGAAGCGAGUGGCAGUCCCCUUUCCUGGUGUUGGUGCUUUUCACAAAUCAUUUAGUUUGAUUCACUGGUGGUGUGUUGUUUGGCUAUUUCCUCUCGGGUUGUCCUGCUGCCGUGUGUCCUUCCUGUUCCCCGUGAUCGAGUUGUGUAUCUCGACUUCCCUCUGGAUUUUGGACUGCAUCCCUCAAUCCUCUACCCCUGUUUGGACACGGACCUCGUUGCUUUUUUCCAGCCCCCGACCACUUGCCUGCCCACGGACUACCUCUUUGCCUCUCCCCUCUGGAUUCAUCCAACACGCACUUACAACAAACUCUGGAAACGCGGCACAUCCAUCCAUCCAUUUUCUACCGCUUAUUCCCUUCGGGGUCGCGGGGGCGCUGGAGCCUAUCUCAGCUACAAUCGGGCGGAAGGCGGGGUACACCCUGGACAAGUCGCCACCUCAUCGCAGGGCCAACACAGAUAUGUAGUAGAAUUUCUGACCUUUGACCUAUAUUGCAUGUCUAAUGGGAAUGUACGCUCAUUUGAUUUCUUUCCUAUUCUGUGCCAGUGGGACAAAAGUGAAUGUUAAGUCGUGCCAACCUGUCUACAGAAUGUGUUGACUGUCUAAAGGAUUCGAGUUGUUAUGGAACAGAUAGGGAAAAGAUAAAAUACAUUGACGCACUCGAUAAGGAACGAUGACGCACAAAAGACAUAUAAAAAAUGGCAGAAGACCGGAACUAGAGAGUGAUUUUGGCUUGUGUGUGUCUUGUUUGCUCCGGGGUGACAUGUGGUCUGUCUGCACGGCCAACUCAAUUCAACCUGCACUUCUGAUAAUGGGUAAAUAAAUUUGUUGUACUAAACUACUUUUGUUGCCUGCUUAAGCUUCGGACAAUCC